rnacentral:rRNA from 1 species
GACGAACGCUGGCGGCGUGCUUAACACAUGCAAGUCGAGCGGUAAGGCCCUUUCGGGGGUACGACGAGCGGCGAACGGGUGAGUAACACGUGGGUGACCUGCCCUCAGCUCUGGGAUAAGCCUGGGAAACCGGGUCUAAUACUGGAUAUGACUCCAUGACGCAUGUUGUGGGGUGGAAAGCCUUGUGCGGCUGAGGAUGGGCCCGCGGCCUAUCAGCCUGUUGGUGGGGUGAUGGCCUACCAAGGCGACGACGGGUAGCCGGCCUGAGAGGGCGACCGGCCACACUGGGACUGAGACACGGCCCGAGA